rnacentral:tRNA from 1 species
GAAAGCAUAGCUCAGUGGUAGAGCACAUGCUUGGGUUGCAUGAGGUCCUGGGUUCAAUCCCCAGUGUCUCUG